CCUUUUACAUUAUUCGCGAUACGAUCCGUACCUUUAACCGCUACAGUAGCUUUCCACUACAGGACACCGUGGGCCGUCGCAUCCUGGUAUGGAACGAGCCGAAGUACCAUUUCCAGGAUUCCCGUCGUUGUGCUCUCAAACAACGAGGUGUUUCCAGAUGACGAGGCCUUCAACCACCGCAUGUGGCGCUACAAGUGGCGAGCGUGUCCUCCACUAAAGAAAUACGACAAGAAAAUCCACCCGACGGCCUUGGUGCUCCUUUACGACACUUUUGUACUCGAAGAAACAUACGCCGGCACGCGCCAACUUGAUCAAUAAACAACUUU